rnacentral:rRNA from 3 species
GAAACAGUGGCUAAGACUGGAUAGGAAGAUAAAAGGCAUCUUGUAUCUUUUAAAAGACCUAGUUAAUAGGUAUGCUUUAGGAGGGGCUUGCGCCAUAUUAGUUAGUUGGUAGGGUAAUGGCCUACCAAGACGAUGAUGUGUAGCUGGACUGAGAGGUUGAACAGCCACAUUGGGACUGAGACACGGCCCAAACUCCUACGGGAGGCAGCAGUAGGGAAUUUUCGGCAAUGGAGGAAACUCUGACCGAGCAACGCCGCGUGAAUGACGAAGUACUUCGGUAUGUAAAGUUCUUUUAUCGAGGAAGAAAAGCAAAUGGCGAACCAUUUGUUUGCCGGUACUUGAUGAAUAAGCCCCGGCUAAUUAUGUGCCAGCAGCCGCGGUAAGACAUAAGGGGCAAGUGUUAUCCGGAAUUAUUGGGCGUAAAGGGUGCGUAGGCGGUCUAGUAAGUCAGUGGUGUAAUGGCAACGCUUAACGUUGUCCGGCUAUUGAAACUGCUAAACUUGAGUUAGAUAGAGGCGAGUGGAAUUCCAUGUGUAGCGGUAAAAUGCGUAAAUAUAUGGAGGAACACCAGAGGCGUAGGCGGCUCGCUGGGUCUUAACUGACGCUGAGGCACGAAAGCGUGGGGAGCAAACAGGAUUAGAUACCCUGGUAGUCCACGCCGUAAACGAUGAGUACUAAGUGUCGGGUUAAACCGGUACUGAAGUUAACACAUUAAGUACUCCGCCUGAGUAGUACGUACGCAAGUAUGAAACUUAAAGGAAUUGACGGGACUCCGCACAAGCGGUGGAUCAUGUUGUUUAAUUCGAAGAUACCCGAAAAACCUUACCAGGUCUUGACAUGUUUUUGCAAAAUGAUAGUAAUAUCGUGGAGGUUACCAGAAACACAGGUGGUGCAUGGUUGUCGUCAGCUCGUGUCGUGAGAUGUUAGGUUAAGUCCUAAAACGAGCGAAACCCUUAUCGUUAGUUGCCAGCACGUUAUGGUGGGGACUUUAACGAGACUGCCAAUGAUAAAUUGGAGGAAGGUGAGGAUCACGUCAAAUCAGCAUGCCCCUUAUGACCUGGGCUACAAACGUGAUACAAUGGCUGUUACAAAGGGUAGCUGAAACGCAAGUUCUUGGCCAAUCCCCAAAAACAGUCCCAGUCCGGAUUGAAGUCUGCAACUCGACUUCAUGAAGUUGGAAUCGCUAGUAAUCGCGAAUCAGCAUGUCGCGGUGAAUACGUUCUCGGGGUUUGUACACACCGCCCGUCA